UACAGAGGGUGCAAGCGUUGUCCGGAAUUAUUGGGCGUAAAGAGCUCGUAGGCGGUCUGUCGCGUCGGCUGUGAAAACCCGGAGCUCAACUCCGGGCCUGCAGUCGAUACGGGCAGACUGGAGUUCGGCAGGGGAGACUGGAAUUCCUGGUGUAGCGGUGAAAUGCGCAGAUAUCAGGAGGAACACCGGUGGCGAAGGCGGGUCUCUGGGGCCGAUACUGACGUGAGGAGCGAAAGCGUGGGGAGCGAACAGG
rnacentral:rRNA from 1 species